CAAACUCAAGAUAAUGUAGGCAGAAAGGAUGUGAUGAGAGAUGUUUAACUGCAGUUUUCAUUUCUUAUUCCUGAGAGACAUCCGUCAAAUGCCCACAGCAAGUUCGUCAUGAAAUGCCUUCUGACAGGAAUGGCAGCUUGCAGCCCACAGCUAUGAAGGAUGUUAUGAAGAUCAGCGCGAGGACAGUACAUGGGGCAAAUGCUGAGGGCUUGCGGCCGUGUCUGUGCUGUUAUCUCUCAUUCUGUUGGAACACUCCUGGAACGAUAAUUUGCUCAUAACUAGAGCCACACUUUAUGGGAAAAUGAAAGGCAG
rnacentral:lncRNA from 1 species